AGCGGCGGAGGGGAACCUCCUUCCGCCGGCUCUGCGUGUUGGCCGGUUGCUGCUGCCCUACCUGAGCAGCCCCCGCCGCGGGGAAGGAAUAUGAGGAAGCCGCGUUGGUUUUAAAUUGCCUUCGGAUGCCCUCGGGACGGCGGAGGAGCCGCUUGCAGAGUGGCGUGUGUUUUACUGGGCAGACGCGAGUUCCAGCUUCCCCCACGGGAAGGGCUGGAAGCGGGGCAGCCGCCUGCCGCGCAGGGAGCUGAUGGCUAAUCUCAUAAAGACCCCAGCUGCAUGGACCCUGCAGAACAUCUCACCCUCCUCGAGCACCCACUGACAUUUGCUGUCUCCAGAAUUGCCCACGGUCAUGAGUGGGCCCUGGCUGCAGCUGCAGCCUCCUCUGCCCUGCCUGUCUGGGCUCCAGCACGAGUGGAGGUCACCACUUCCAGCCUUGGUCCUUCAGCUCAGGGCAUCCGUCAAAGGCAUGCUGGAACCGGGGAACGCUUCAGGGUUUGGGUGUGUGCGUGUUCUGCAAUGCUGUGCUCAUUUUUCCCUUGCUCAUUAAAGAAAUAAAUUGGUAGGCCUGGA